rnacentral:rRNA from 1 species
AUUGAACGCUGGCGGCAUGCUUUACACAUGCAAGUCGAACGGUAGGGUAGCAAUACCUGAGAGUGGCGAACGGGUGAGUAAUGCAUCGGAACAUGCCUAUUUGUGGGGGAUAGCCCGGCGAAAGCCGGAUUAAUACCGCAUACGAUCUACGGAUGAAAGCUGGGGACCGCAAGGCCUAGCGCAAAUAGAGUGGCCGAUGUCAGAUUAGCUAGUUGGUGGGGUAAAGGCUCACCAAGGCAACGAUCUGUAGCUGGUUUGAGAGAACGACCAGCCACACCGGGACUGAGACACGGCCCAGACUCCUACGGGAGGCAGCAGUGGGGAAUUUUGGACAAUGGGCGCAAGCCUGAUCCAGCAAUGCCGCGUGCAGGAUGAAGGCCUUCGGGUUGUAAACUGCUUUUGUACGGAACGAAACGUCUCUGGUUAAUACCCGGGGCUAAUGACGGUACCGUAAGAAUAAGCACCGGCUAACUACGUGCCAGCCGCCGCGGUAA